ACGAACGCUGGCGGCGUGCUUAACACAUGCAAGUCGAACGGAAAGGCCCUGCUUGCAGGGUACUCGAGUGGCGAACGGGUGAGUAACACGUGGGUGAUCUGCCCUGCACUUCGGGAUAAGCCUGGGAAACUGGGUCUAAUACCGGAUAGGAGCCAUUUUUCGUGUGAUGGUUGGAAAGUUUUUUCGGUGUAGGAUGAGCUCGCGGCCUAUCAGCUUGUUGGUGGGGUAAUGGCCUACCAAGGCGGCGACGGGUAGCCGGCCUGAGAGGGUGGACGGCCACAGUGGGACUGAGAUACGGCCCAGACUCCUACGGGAGGCAGCAGUGGGGAAUAUUGCACAAUGGGCGCAAGCCUGAUGCAGCGACGCCGCGUGGGGGAUGACGGCCUUCGGGUUGUAAACUCCUUUCGCUAGGGACGAAGCUUUUUGUGACGGUACCUAGAUAAGAAGCACCGGCUAACUACGUG
rnacentral:rRNA from 1 species